AUUGAACGCUGGCGGCAGGCCUAACACAUGCAAGUCGAGCGAGCGGCGGACGGGUGAGUAAUGUCUGGGAAACUGCCUGAUGGAGGGGGAUAACUACUGGAAACGGUAGCUAAUACCGCAUACCAUCAGAUGUGCCCAGAUGGGAUUAGCUAGUAGGUGGGGUAAUGGCUCACCAAGUCGACGAUCCCUCGCUGGUCUGAGAGGAUGACAAGCCAAACUGGAACUGAGAAACGGGCCAGACUCCUACGGUAGGCAGCAGUGGGGAAUAUUGCACAAUGGGCGCAAGCCUGAUGCAGCCAUGCCGAGUGUGUGAAGAAGGCCUUCGGGUUGUAAAGCACUGUCAGCGGGGAGGCGUUACUCGCAGAAGAAGCACCGGCGAACUCCGUGCCAGCAGCCGCGGUAAUAC
rnacentral:rRNA from 1 species